CUCGUACGCCUGCUGCGGGCAGAUGUAGUGAAUGUGGGUGUCGAUGCCGCCGGCCGUGAUAAUCUUGUUCUCGCCGGCCACGACCUCGGUGCAGCUGCCCACAAUCAUGUUGGCCGGGUGCACGCCGUCCAUGACGUCCGGGUUGCCCGCCUUGCCGAUGCCGACAAUGAUGCCCUCCUUGACGCCAAUGUCGGCCUUGUAGAUGCCCGUCCAGUCGAGCACCAGCGCAUUGACAAUCACCAGGUCCAGGCAGUCCUUGUCGGCCCGGCCCGACGCCUGGCCCAUGCCCUCGCGCAG
rnacentral:sRNA from 1 species